GCAAACUUGGUCAUUUAGAGGAAGUAAAAGUCGUAACAAGGUCUCCGUAGGUGAACCUGCGGAGGGAUCAUCAUUGAAAACACAAUUUGACAAGAGGUUUUUGUGGAGGGAGAAGGGAGGGGAGGCAGAGAAACUCUGCAUCUCCAAACUUUGAUUGAGACGAGGCCUCUUGACAAACAACCAAUCUUCAUGACUAGGAAAAACAUUUGGCAGUGAAGUGAAUAACAAGUUCUUGUCUGACAAGUAGCUUACUGAUUUGGAGCACGAUAACUAAUACAACUUUCGACAACGGAUCUCUUGGCUCUCACAUCGAUGAAGAACGCAGC
rnacentral:misc_RNA from 1 species